UGUGUUUUAGACGCUUUUACAAAUUAUAAUCGUCUAAUACAGACGAAAUUUAAUUUUAAAUCCUUAAAAUACCAGGCGCGAUACAUACUGUAUUACACCCUAACACGUUACCUGCUAAUAAUUACGUUGUAUGUGGAAAAUAUCACGCUGACGAGGAGUUCUAAAUAAACUGAAAAUGCAAGUUAAUUCAAGUUCAGAGUGAUGUGCAGCUUGUUGCAUUUGUAAUUUGGAAACAGAGGAAUCUUUUUAUCCUAUUCUACAGCAUUAAUUUCGUUGUUGUUACUGCAUUUCGUUCAUCCUUUCGUUCUUCCCUUAUCUUCCAAAUUCUGAGUCACACAACUAACAGUCACCCCUCUGUAAAUCCACACUCAUCCUAAUCACGUGGAAAGAAUACAAUAUUCCCAUUGGAGAAAACAUCGAAAAAGAGGAUUCUUUUGGUUUUGCUCGGGGAGUACGCCAAAAAUUCUACAAGAAGACGUAUGCCAUACUCUCUCUCCAUAGCCAACUCCCGAAGUUCAUAAAAAGUUUGUCUCUAUGUUCCCCAGUGAAGAAAAUGUUUUAUGAAGUGCCGCCUAAGAUUUACGAGGGUCAAUAAUGAGAACUUAAAAGAGAACUAGAGAAAUAAAGAACAUUCACAUCGAUCCGAAUAGAAAGAAUACAGAAGAAUACAGAAUUUAUGAGGUAGUAUGAUUUUUGAAUAGAAGUGUAAUCUCUCUCCGUGAUAUCCAUAUUAAUAUGUUGAAAGUCCAAUUUGUAUAUUUUAUCUUGUUUUAUUAAAUAUUCGAUAUUUUUAUGUUUCAGAAAGGUGUCAUUUAUAUCUGAAUCAGAAGAUCUCAUCCUCUCCGUAUUAACGAAUUAACCGCGAGAAAAUUGUUUAACUAGUGUCCAACUUUUCUUUUUGUCAGGAUUUUUAUCUUAAAAUCA